GCAUCUAUAGUUCAGUGGCAGAGCGGUGGGGCGUUGAUCCAUGUGGUCCGGGUUCGAGCCCCGAUCGAUGCA